GACGAACGCUGGCGGCGUGCCUAAUACAUGCAAGUCGAGCGGACAGAAGGGAGCUUGCUCCCGGAAGUUAGCGGCGGACGGGUGAGUAACACGUGGGCAACCUACCCUGUAGAUCGGGAUAACAUCGAGAAAUCGGUGCUAAUACCGGAUAAUCAUUUGAAGUGCAUGCUUCGAAUGUAAAAGAUGGCUCCGGCUAUCACUACGGGAGGGGCCCGCGGCGCAUUAGCUAGUUGGUAAGGUAAUGGCUUACCAAGGCAACGAUGCGUAGCCGACCUGAGAGGGUGAUCGGCCACACUGGGACUGAGACACGGCCCAGACUCCUACGGGAGGCAGCAGUAGGGAAUCUUCCGCAAUGGACGAAAGUCUGACGGAGCAACGCCGCGUAAGUGAUGAAGGUUUUCGGAUCGUAAAGCUCUGUUGUUAGGGAAGAACAAGUGCCGUUUGAAUAAGGCGGCACCUUGACGGUACCUAACCAGAAAGCCACGGCUAACUACGUGCCAGCAGCCGCCGUAACAC
rnacentral:rRNA from 1 species